rnacentral:misc_RNA from 1 species
UACGGAGGGUGCGAGCGUUGUUCGGAAUUAUUGGGCGUAAAGCGCACGUAGGCGGCGCGGUAAGUCUUCUUGGUGAAAGGCCGGGGCUCAACCCCGAGCUUGCCGGAGAUACUGUCGCGCUGGAGACAGGGAGAGGCUAGUGGAAUUCCGGGUGUAGCGGUGGAAUGCGUAGAGAUCCGGAAGAACACCGGGGGCGAAGGCGGCUAGCUGGCCCUGGACUGACGCUGAGGUGCGAAAGCGUGGGGAGCGAACAGG